rnacentral:lncRNA from 1 species
CACAGAGGGAGAAGUGCAGGAAAACAGGGAAGACUGGCAAAUGGAGAACACAGUCACUGGUUCUCACAGAAAAAAAGUCUCCAACAUGAAACAAUUCAUUUUUUACUUUACUGUUCCGCCGAAGACUGAACAGUUAAAUAUAUUCUCCAAUAAUUUCCUCCCUGAAAGGGUCAGAAGGUGGAUGAUGGUGCAGACAAAGGCCUGAAAGAGAACUGGCAUUGCUCGUUGUUAAAGUCUGCAUCAUCUAUUUCUGUUUUCGUUGGUGUUUUAUUUGUUUGUAAAGCUAAUUGUGUUUAUAAGAUUAGGGUUUACUCUACAAACCCACCAAGUCACUCAGGUCCUCUGAGGGGGGCUCUUCUGUGUGUGUGUGUGUGUGUGUGUGUGUGUGUGUGUGUGUGUGUGUGUGUGUGUGUGUGUGUGUGUGUGUGUGUGUGUGUGUGUGUGUCCACCACCAGCAUUUAUCUGUUACAAUCUACCAGCAACACCGAUCACCAUGGAUGAACUGUGCACCCCUGUUUUCCUAUUUGAUUUUGUUCUCCUUACUUAGAUGAUUUACUUUUCUCAUACCUACAUCUGUGUUUCCCCUCAUUAAUGAAAUUGUUUUCUCUCAGUUCCUUUUUUCUACUACAGUUAUUGUUUAUUCUUUUAUAUUAUUUUUUCGUCUAAUUUAUCAUCUUGCCUGGAAUUAUGUGAAGCACUUCCUACUCUACCACACUGUGAAGUGCUUUAUAAAAUGUGAUUGAUAUAUUUCCGUAAAAGCUAAAGCCUCAUCUUCUUUACAACAUCAUCUUUUGUGCGCAAAAAUAAUCAAAUUUGAUUAAUUAAUUUAUAUGUUGUUUUUUCCUCAGAUCAGCGGGAUGAGCGAUGCGCCGUGAUGUUCAUCCAGUAACCGGAUUCUUCUCUUUGAGGGGAAGCAAACAGACGAGCAGUCCGGAGCGGAGUGGACCGAACGUGGGGCAAGUUAAGGAUGACGGUGGUCAGUUCAGCAGAGGGGUCAAGCAUUGCUUGCGUGGAUGCCUUGGAUGGCAGUUAGGAUGGUGUUUUGGGAGGAGCCGACAGGUGUAGCGAACUGAUGGUGCACCGGGACCGCAGCCGCAUGAGUGUGAGUGAAUACGGCGAGGCAGAGGACGUCUGAAUAAAAGCCUCAUUUGACUUUUGAUUUCACAUGUCAGCAAAGUUCUGAUAGUUUGCAUAAAAAUAGUAUUUUAGCUCAGUAUUUGUUCGCAAAUGUACAAUAAAAAUAGUUUAUUUAUAAGGUGAUUUUUUUUGUCUUUUUCCAAAGAUUAGUCUUGGAAAGGGGAGGUUGUCAUAAUCAGGGUGGUCCUAUAUUCGGGUCACUACGGUACUUGGCACAUAUUUAGGCAACAUUUAGAAGAGAAUGGACCUGAUCGCUGGAUAAAGCUGGACGUCUUUGGUGACAUACGGCCUUUUUAGCAUCUGGGCUACGAACUUUUUCACACUCUGAGCUUUUAAUGACCAAAAUAGAAAUCAGCACAAUUUUUAAAAGUAUUCUUAUUUAGUGUUUGAGUCAGAUACUUGAUUAUAUGUUCUCCCUAAUAUAGUUCUCUGUGCUCGUGUUUGUCCCCUAUGUGACAUCCACACGGUUAAACACAGGCUGUGAUCCAAAGAUGUAUUUUUAGCAAUUAGCAUAUUUACCAGAGUCACCUUUUGUCUUCUGUGUGCUCGUACAGUAUGUGUGCAUAGCUGCUUUAGAAAAUCUGUCCACGCUCAUUAUGUGGCGGAUUGUUUUUCCAUCAGCAGAGCGGUUUAGCUAAUGCUCUGGUAUUAAUAGGAGGGGGAGGUUAUCCUCCUAAGGUUGUUCUGUCAUGGCCGCUAAUCUCACUGGCGGCCGGCUCUCCUUUUAAUUUAAUUACAGUUAACUGUGUUAAUAUUUCAUUAAAGUAUUAGUUAGAAGAUGGUGUGUUUUAAUCAGACCGACGUGCUGCUGCAGCGUUGCUGCUCUGUCCCUCUCUCGUCAUCAUCUGCCUUCCGUUUGUCCUCUCGAGACUUCCUCAUCCUUUCAUCCCCUCUUCUGACAUAAGCUGGCACUCGCAAACACACUGGCGCAACAGCACAAAUACAUGGC